UGGGACUCAUCCAUUCCUAUUUCGUUGACACACAAGAGUUCGUACACUCAACCAAUCACAUCGCUCGCAGGAGCCCCGCUCACACACAGUUUCACACACACUCCAACACAUACGCACACACUUCUGUUUCACGCACUCUGUCUCACACACACUCUUUAAUUCGCUGCCACACAAGACACACAUUUUCUGUUUCUCUCACAGGAAAACUGGACACGCACACUUUUAAUCCCUGUAACAGACACUCGUAGACCCUUUUCUUUUUCUCUCUGUCAGUCGCACAUACACAAUCACAAAGUCAGACACACUCAGUCCCUGGAAUAAGCACACAAACACACGCAUACUCUCUCACACUUAUUGGCCACAGACUCACUUCCCUCAAACUUAUAGUUUAUACUGCCAUGUAUACCCCGUUUUAUUUGUUUUGUUAUUUCUUCCAGCCGAAUAAAAAUAGAGAAGUAGGUACACGUCUACCCGAACAGGGACAACAUCUGUUCUUUUUAACCGAAUUAAAAUAGAGAAGUAGUGUACAGCGUCUACCCGAACAGGCACAGCAUCUGCUCUUUUCAACCGAAUCAAAAUAGAGAAGUAGUGUACAGCGUCUACUCUGGCUUGUUUACGAGCGGAUCAAUCUCGAGGUGAGCCUUACACCUGGCCUUUAUCCGAACUUCUCGUCAGAAGCCGGGGGGAGACGCCAGCAUCCAAUCCUUAACCC